AUUUUGUUGGGGCUACAGAGCAGCUAUCCAUACCAACAGCACCCAUUCAAUGAGGCCACAACAUUUAGAUUUCUGCAAUACACCAAACUGGGAUGUCCAGAGUGAAGGACAUAGGGUUAUGGCACAUCAAU